GGACAGAUGAAAACCUACCCCAGAAGUUCGUCUGAGAACCCCACAGAUUUUGAAAUGAAACAGCAUGGUGACUUAGCCAAGGUGCGACAUAGACAGACUUAGACUGGGCUAGUGUGUCUCACCAGCCAAGUAAGUUCUGGGGUUCUGUUUCCAAUGUCUGUGUGUUGCUGUGGCUAUUAACUGCCUCCUGUGUGUGUGUGAUAAGAAGAGAGAGGUUGAGGCUGAGGUUGGCGGUCAAGGCCAUCCUGGGCUUCAUAGUAAGAGCUUGUCUCAAAGAAUCCAAUUGAAAACCAACUAAAGCCAACAAAAAC
rnacentral:lncRNA from 1 species